CCAACAUAAUCUCAAAAGGCAAGAGACCAAAUUUUCAAAGUCCCGCGCUCAGCUCCGUUCUUCAAUUCUUCCCUCAGCUUUCCCUGCUGGUGGGUCUCGUCGGUGGUUCUCUCCCUCUAGCUUCCUCGUUGGUGGUUCUCUUUUCUCGACGAUGGUUCUCCCCAUCUAGCCUCCGCGUCGGUGGUUCUCUUUUCUCGUCGGUGGUUCUCCUCAUCUAGCUUCCUCGUCGGUGGUUCUCGCCACCUAACUUCUCCGUCGCUAAACCAGCUAGCUUGCUCGGCCGGUGGUUCAGCUCGCGUCCUGUUCUUCGUCAAUAUUUUCACCGCGGUCGGAGCUACUCUGGUUGCUAUUUGUAUCUUGUUGGAAAUCAAGGUCGGAUGUUCAGUAAUCUAACCUGCACAGGGCAUACUUAUUCAUAUUCCCCAAAGCCAUUUCCCCUCAGCAAGAGUAGCUCUACUAAGUCAUGCUUGCAUUAUCCCUUGAAGGAUCAGAUUACAACUAAGCCUUGUUGAACUGAGAUGUGGCUGUAAGUUAUCUGUCUUAUUUAUCCAGAUUAGUCCUAGCGCUGCAGACUUGGGGGAGACUUUAUGCUCCCUGAACUUUGGUAGUCGAGUCAAGGGAAUCGAAUAUGGUCCAGCUCGCAAGCAGACAGAUUUUUCUGAGCUCCUCAAGUAUAAGCAUCUGGCUAAGAAAUCAAAGCAUGAUGAAAAAGAAGCAAAGAAACUGCAGGACAAUGUACAAUCUUUGCAGCUAAGACUUUCUGCCAUAGAGCAUAUCUGCAGAAAUCUCCAAGAGAAGUUUAUGCAGAUGGAAGAUCUGUCUUGACAUUCUAUAAAACCAAUGGAGUCCCAUAUAUGAUGUUGCUGCUAUCCUAACGUCAAUUCAGGUCUAUACUCCGAGGACUGCGCCUUAUGGUAGUGAGGAAAUUGAUGUGGUUCGUGAGCAAUGGGCGAAGUUUUUUUACCAGCAAGUAUUUAUUAUUGACCUGAGGAAGCUUGAUCGAGUUGGUUUAGAUGUAUAGAACAAUCUUUUAUGUUAAAAUGCAUGCGUACGUUGAAAUUGGAACGUAUGUAUAUUUAAAUGUAUUAGUACGUGCACUUUGGUUUUGGAAUAUAUACAAAACUACAGUUAUUGUUUA